CGUGCUGCUGCAACCCUGCCUCCCUAGAAGAAUCCUACCCUGCCUCCCUUGACUAGUACGUCCUCGAUCUGCAACCUACUCAACUAUGGAAAGGCGUCUUCUUCAACUUCAGAAUCAAGGCUCCAUUAGGUGAGCUCACCGGACAAUGUUUCCCUCAUGUUCCUAUAUGUGUCUGAUGCAUUCAGUUUAGGGAUCGGUAAAUGAAUUAUUUUAGAGAUCUUUUGUACUCCAUGAAGAUGAAGCUCACAUCUAGGAAGUUGUUAUCGCUAAAAAAAACUGUCUAUUUGUAUUGUGAUUAAAACUGGCUAUCUCUCCAUCUCACAAAACUGUAAACUGGAUUUUUUAGAGAUAUUUGCUGUAUUCCAAUGUCUCCCUCAUGUUUCUAUAUGAGCUCACAUGAAGUUGAUAACAAAUUGUCUAUUUGUGUUGUGAUUAAAUAAAGGCGUCGUAUCUUGUGAAUCCAGCAUCCCUCGUGCAUCCCUGUAUCCUGUCAUCACCGGCCGUUCGAUCAAAAUCCUGUGCCUGUUGUGCGUCCAGCGUCCUUUUGCAGAAAAGCGCCCGCAGCAGCCCAAGUCAGCCGUGUAAAGUUUCCUUGUACACCCCUCCUCCGCCCAGCAGCUCCCCCAAUUGGAGAUCUCCCAAAUCUCUUCGUUCCUCCAAUCCUCGAUCCCUGCUGCAGCCACGACGGAGUGCCACGACCUGGACGACAGCCGGCAACGAGCCACGACGUGGAUGAAAGCCGGCAAACAAUACCAGUGAUGGGUCGUGUUGGUUUCCGUCACGGCAGCAACCUGCGACGGCAACCUCGGAAGGAGAUUCAUGUCAGUGGUCGCCGCAUCAAUGGCCUGCAAUGGAGCAUGCGGGAAGGAGCGUGCGACGGAGCACAGGAUGAGGAGCCUGCAUGGGAGACCCGCGUAGGCGGCGGCAGCAUCCCGGCGACGGAGACCCGCGAAGGAGCGUGAGACGAGGCGACCAAUGCACUCGCCUGUCACUGCCACUGCAGUAGAUGGCCACAACUGUGAUCACUAGGUAGUACUACUAGUACUUUUUAGACGAACUCCUGUUGCGAAAUCGCAAUAGCAAUUGAUCUUGUAUGGAUGUGCCAAGAGCAAACAUGUAUUGCUGAAUGCAAAAUUCAGAAAACUGAAUUUCGGUUCUGUGAAUUAGUUAUCCAGAAAGUUGGGAGGGAGAGAAACAAGACAACAUUUGUUGGCUGCCUGAGCUCUCACAUGAGAAAUGAAUCUUCGCUGGACCUACACUCAAAGUUCAUUUAUCAUAUGACUGAUGACUGAAAAUGACAAUGUAAACUCUUUUGAAAGCUCUCAGUUUUCUCUGAAUUUAUAUUCUAUUUUUGAAUGCCA
rnacentral:lncRNA from 1 species